CCCUUAGAUGUUCUGGGCCGCACGCGCGCUACACUGACGAAUGCAACGAGCUUAUAACCUUGGCCGAAAGGUCUGGGUAAUCUCCAAAUUUCGUCGUGAUGGGGAUAGAUUAUUGCAAUUAUUAAUCUUCAACGAGGAAUGCCUAGUAAGCGCAAGUCAUCAGCUUGCGUUGAUUACGUCCCCGCCCUUUGUACACACCGCCCGUCGCUCCUACCGAUUGAAUGGUCCGGUGAAGCGUUCGGACCGUGGCCUUUGGACGGUUCGCCGUCUGUUGGCUGCGGGAAGUUCGUUAAACCUUAUCAUUUAGAGGAAGGAGAAGUCGUAACA
rnacentral:rRNA from 1 species